CCCAAUUAGCCCGACUAACCAGUGCCCCUUUCACUAUACAUACUACCCCAAUUAGCCCGACUAACCAGUGUCCCUUUCACUAUACAUACUACCCCAAUUAGCCCGACUAACCAGUGCCCCUUUAACUAUACAUACUACCCCAAUUAGCCCGACUAACCAGUGCCCAUUUAACUAUACAUACUACCCCAAUUAGCCCGACUAACCAUGCCCCUUUAACUAUACAUACUACCUCAACUAGCCCGACUAACCAGUGUCCCUUUAACUAUACAUACUACCCCAAUUAGCCUGACUAACCAGUGUCCCUUUAACUAUACAUACUACCCCAAUUAGCCCGACUAACCAGUGCCCCU